rnacentral:tRNA from 1 species
AAAACUAUUUUGGCAGAAAAUUGUAAUGAUUUUAGAAGUCAUAUAUAUAUAUUAUAUAUAAUAUAUAAAUAGUA